CCUAUUCUUCUUCUCCAUUUUCUUCGUUCAGCUCUAGAAGCUUCUUCACCUACCAUGGUAGACAUGGCUGAGCUCAAUUGCUCUGUUUUUAGCAACGAUCUUUACAAAAUCCAAAGCUGGUUAUGGUUACUUUGACAGAAAAGGACUGAUUUUGCUCGAUUUUGCAGGUGUUGAAUUAAGUCAUUCGAAAAAUCUGCUCAAUUUUGCAGGGGUGAAGACUGUUUUGUCCUUGCACAACAUUCUCAAAUAUCGCAUCAGUAGCCAACGAGAAGCCAAUAUGUCAGGAAAUUUAAUGCUUUCUCUUUUUCCCUGUUCAGUAGUCAGUUUAUUAUCAUGUCAAACUGAAUAUUAAGUCCAAAUAACGGCAACUUAAUCUUUUUAUAUUUGCAGCUUCUGCAGAAGCUUGUAAUGAACUGUUGGCUUAUUCUUUAUUGUAUGCUGUUGCUAUACAUGUUGUAUCAAAAAGAAGCUCCGCAGAAUGGUCAACAUUAAGGUUUGCCUCUUGGUCAUGUCACAUCAUUUCUGAGGUGUGAUAAACAUGUUGAUAUCAGUAAUCGCUAGAAGAAUAUUUGUAUCCCCUGUCCAGCCUUGGGCUAUACCUGCACUUUCCAAGAUCUGGGGGAGGCUUUGUCGAUGACUUGUCUUCACAUUUUCUGUGUUGUUGCUUUGCACUAGUCCAAAAACAAAGGGAGGUGCAGAAUAGGAAAUUUUCUGGCCUUCUGAAAACCAACACAAGGCCUCCACUGUCCCAUCACAUGAAAUCCUAAGCUCACUCAGAUUAUAUGGACAUUACUUCACUCAAUUUUACAUUGUUUAGUCCUCUCUAAUUGAAAUUGGAUGUAUAUUUCUAUGUAUACCUUCCUCAGUGUGCACAACUUAUCU